CUACGUGCCAGCAGCCGCGGUAAUACGUAGGGUGCGAGCGUUAAUCGGAAUUACUGGGCGUAAAGCGAGCGCAGACGGUUACUUAAGCAGGAUGUGAAAUCCCCGGGCUUAACCUGGGAACUGCGUUCUGAACUGGGUGACUAGAGUGUGUCAGAGGGAGGUAGAAUUCCACGUGUAGCAGUGAAAUGCGUAGAGAUGUGGAGGAAUACCGAUGGCGAAGGCAGCCUCCUGGGAUAACACUGACGUUCAUGCUCGAAAGCGUGGGUAGCAAACAGGAUUAGAUACCCUGGUAGUCCACGCCCUAAACGAUGUCAAUUAGCUGUUGGGCAACUUGAUUGCUUAGUAGCGUAGCUAACGCGUGAAAUUGACCGCCUGGGGAGUACGGUCGCAAGAUUAAAACUCAAAGGAAUUGACGGGGACCCGCACAAGCGGUGGAUGAUGUGGAUUAAUUCGAUGCAACGCGAAGAACCUUACCAAGGCUUGACAU
rnacentral:rRNA from 1 species